rnacentral:rRNA from 1 species
AUGAAGAACACCUGGGACUGGAACCUGGAAGAGGACAUAGUUGAUAUGAGAACAGUAGUAUACCAUAUAACUGGAAUUAACCGAUGCAAGUCGAAGAAGGAUUGGCCGGUGCUGCCGGCUGGCGUCAAGUUCGAUCCCACGGAUCAGGAGCUGAUCGAGCACCUAGAGGCCAAAGUGAGUGCUGACAGCACGAGAUCUCACCCUCUCAUCGAUUUGUUCAUACCAACCAUCGACAGCGAGCACGGCAUAUGCUACACCCAUCCUGAGAAACUUCCAGGUAUCACACUGAGUGGCCUAAGCAAGCAUUUCUUCCAGCACAAUUCCAGGGCAUUCAAAAGGGGCACAUGGACGCGUCGCAAGAUACAGUCGGAGUGCGGCAUGCACGCGAUGUGGCACAACACCGGCAAUACCUUGCCGGUGAUGGUCAACGGCCGGUAG